UUUGUGGGUCAAAAUAAAGGACAUAUAGUGACAAAGAACGAAUCGGCUCCACAUCCUUCUGGCAGAAUGGGGGUGGGCCAAUUUUCUUUUCUUUUUAUUGAAAUAAUCCUGUUUGGACUCUGGAGUUAGAAAUAUUUUCGUGUGCCAUGUAUAACCCUUUAAUGCGAAGGCAUUUCACGACAUUUUUCUUUUAGAGAACUAGCAAGAGGGUCAGUUUUGUGAGGGGCCUCAUCAGGGAGGUGGUUGGUUUUGCUCCUUAUGAGAAGAG
rnacentral:misc_RNA from 1 species